rnacentral:guide_RNA from 1 species
AUAUUUUAAAUAUAGUUUAUGUAGUGAGUUUGAAGUUAUGUGAUAAUUAAU